rnacentral:rRNA from 1 species
AAAUGACUCUCGGCAACGGAUAUCUCGGCUCUCGCAUCGAUGAAGAACGUAGCGAAAUGCGAUACUUGGUGUGAAUUGCAGAAUCCCGUGAACCAUCGAGUCUUUGAACGCAAGUUGCGCCCGAAGCCACCAGGCUGAGGGCACGUCUGCCUGGGCGUC